rfam:Hordeum vulgare subsp. vulgare, WGS project CAJW01000000 data, contig: morex_contig_289125
UAAGUACUUCCUCCGUUCGGAAAUAAAUGUCAUAAAAAUGGAUAUAUCUAGAUCUAUUUUAGUUUUAAAUACAUUCAUUUUUAUUUAUUUAUGCGAUAAAUAAUUUCGGACGCAGGGAGUACAUC